rnacentral:rRNA from 1 species
UGAGGAAUAUUGGUCAAUGGGCGCGAGCCUGAACCAGCCAUUCCGCGUGAAGGAAGAAGGCCUUAUGGGUUGUAAACUUCUUUUCUGUAAGAAGAAAAGUCCCGACGUGUCGGGAUGUGACGGUAUUAUAGGAAUAAGCAUCGGCUAACUCCGUGCCAGCAGCCGCGGUAAUACGGAGGAUGCAAGCGUUAUCCGGAUUUAUUGGGUUUAAAGGGUGCGCAGGUUGGUUGAUAAGUCAGUGGUGAAAGUCUGUCGCUUAACGAUAGGAGUGCCAUUGAUACUGGAGGGCUGGAGGAUGGGUGAGGUAGGCGGAAUGUGUAGUGUAGCGGUGAAAUGCAUAGAUAUUACACAGAACGCCGAUUGCGAAGGCAGCUUACUAGUCCAUGACUGACGCUGAGGCACGAAAGCGUGGGGAUCAAACA